AUUGAACGCUGGCGGCAGGCUUAACACAUGCAAGUCGAGCCAGCGGCGGACGGGUGAGUAAUGUCUGAGAAACUGCCUGAUGGAGGGGGAUAACUAAUGGAAACGGAAGCUAAUACCGCAUACCCUCAGCUGUGCCCAUAUGGGAUUAGCUAGUAGGUGGGGUAAUGGCUCACCUAGGCGACGAUCCAUAGCUGGUCUGAGAGGAUGACGAGACGUAAUGGAACUGAUCAAAGGUCCAGACUCCUAAGGGAGGGAGCAGUGGGAAAUAUUGCACAUGGGGCGGAAGCCGGAUGCAGCCAUGCCGCGUGUGUGAAGAAGGCCUUCGGGUUGUAAAGCACGUUCAGCGGGGAGGCGUUACUGGCAGAAGAAGCACCGGCUAAGUCCGUGCCAGCAGCCGCGGUAAUAC
rnacentral:rRNA from 1 species